GGAGAGAUGGCUGAGUGGUUGGUAGCUCUAGUCAUGAAAACCGGUAUAGUUCUAGGAACUAUUGAGGGUUCAAAUCUCUCUCUCUCUC
rnacentral:tRNA from 1 species